UACGUAGGGGGCAAGCGUUGUCCGGAAUCAUUGGGCGUAAAGCGCGUGUAGGCGGCUCGAUAAGUCUGCUGUGAAAGUCCAAGGCUCAACCUUGGGAUGCCGGUGGAUACUGUCGAGCUCGAGUCCGGAAGGGGAGUGUGGAAUUCCUGGUGUAGCGGUGAAAUGCGCAGAUAUCAGGAGGAACACCAAUGGCGAAGGCAGCACUCUGGGACGUGACUGACGCUGAGGCGCGAAAGCUAGGGGAGCAAACAGG
rnacentral:rRNA from 1 species